AAUUGUGCCUCACUUCCUGUUUAUGUGUCUUUGUAGCAGCGACGGAAUGGAAAUUCAAUUCUUCCAGUAUCUCUGUUGUAGCUAGCUGGUAUGCAAUGAAAUGUAGCUUGCUACUGAAGUUUAAUUGGCUAGCUUUAAGCCAUAGAAAAGAUUUGGGCUAUGUUAUAUAAAUGGAAAUAUGUUUUCUACUUUAUUAUGUAUGUAAACACAUAGGUCGACAAGAUGGAGCCAUGAAGGACAGACAGCAUGGUUGUUCAGGAGAGUGUUUUAAAACCGUCACUGUUGAUUGGCCAGACAGCAACUGUACCACUGAAGAACGUUAGCAAGUUAGCGAGCUAGCUAAGUGUGCUGAGACUUGCGUUACAUCGACGGACUUCCAUCGCCUGUUCCAAUACGGUUCGUGAGUGUACUGUAAAAACUUGCCAUAACACAAGGACUGGGUCAGAUAUAAUGUUUCACCAACUUCCAUUGAGAGAUCCGGACCGAUUGAGACUAUGGCUAGUUGCCCUGAACAUUGACGCCAAUACUCCGCCUGACGACCUCAGAAAGUUACUAGUAUGCUCAGAACAUUUUCCCCGGGGACUAUUAUGAGAGAAUGGAACUGUCAAGAAGUAAGAUUAAAAGUUAUGUCCCAUCAGUGGGCAUUCUAUGCACAACAUGUAGGCAAGCCAUAGGAAAUCUUUGGCGAAGUCAUAUAAACGGACAUAUGUUUCCUAAUUCCUUAUUAUUGUGUUAAGAGGGAGCCAUGAAGGACAGAUAUCAUGGUUGGUCAGGAGAGGGUAUUAACACAGUCACUGUUGAUAGGCCAGAAGGCAGCAGUGCCACUGAAGAAUGUUGUCCGUCCAUUGAGGAGGACCAGUGCGUGAACAUUCAGCCCAGAAGCUCAGAUGAGUCGAACCACGGAGAACAGGUGAGUGAAGUGUCAGUGGUCCUUCCGUGUGAAUACAGAAACAUAGACGACAGUUGUUCCCUGAGGAUGGAAAGGAAUGGGUCUGUGAAGCAGGAGAAGUGUUGCCUCCUAUAGCGAGGAAGAGAAGAAGCUGUUGGCUGCCAUGGUGUUUGAGAAGGGGGGAACUGGGGCUGACUGGCUCUCUGGUGAUGGAGGUGACUGAGGAUCCACAGGACAGUGAUGCAGACACUGCACCCAACAGGGAGGAAAGGGCUCUGCACCUAGAGGAGGAGCAAGGAGAUGAGAGACAGACAGAUGAAGGGACUGCCCAGCAGAGAGGAGCGGCAGGCUAAUGCUGAGUGGGAACCCUCAGUGGAGCCGGAGGUGACUUUAGAUUCUGUUUGUGUGUUUGUGUGUGUGUGUGUGUGUGUGUGUGUGUGUGUGUGUGUGUGUGUGUGUGUGUAUGGAGCGCGAGAGAGACGGCGCGAGCGAGCCUACACUCCACGCCGACACAAGAAGCUGUGUGUGUGAUGGCCAGCCUGAGGAGCCUGUUGGGUUUGACAAACUCUGCAUGCGGUUUAAUGACCUCGGCAGUUAUGAGGAGCACGUCCGUCAAGAGCACUCCAAAAGUUCACGGCCUCUCUGUCCUGACUGUGGCAUCCUCAUCUCAACGUUACUCAGUGUGGGGCAUCAGUGUGAACAAGUUCAAGCUGUUCUGUCUGUGGGAAGCGCUGUGUGGAUGAAGCUGGCCUCAAGCAUCACCAGAGGCUUCACCAUCAAGAGCAUGUCUACUGUAAGUUCUGCCUCAAGCCAUUCAAGGCCAGGGAAGACAAGCGGACACACGAGAAGGACGACCACCAGGUCAAAAAGUUGCACUAUAGGUGCUCCAAAUGCCCCAUGGGAUUUUACAACAUCUUGAAACGGAACCACCAUCUCAGAGAGCAUGAGUCCAAGAGACAUUUGUAACAUGUGCUACAAGGAAUUUCCCCAACUUAGCAAGCUUGAGAGGCACGAGCUGAGCCACAGUGACAACAAAUCCUUCAGGUGUCAGGUGUGCCAGCGUUCCUUUGCCCAGCUCAGCCAGCUGAAGUCUUACCUGCACGUCCACACUGGGGAGAAGCCCUUCAAAUGCCAGCGCUGCGUCUAGAGCUUUAACCACAACGUCAGCCUCAAGAACCUCGUCACACGCUAUCACCAAGGGGAGAGUGGGGAGGGAGUGGAGGUGGGAGAGCGGAGGAGCAGGCGACAGAGGAAUCGACAGUUGAACUAUGAUCCUGAGGAGGAGGAGCGUCAGAAUGAGAGUGAUUCUGACUUUGACCUGGAGGAAGAGGAGAAGACGAGGAGUAAAGGGAAAGGUAGUGGAGGAGGGGGGCACUGGUAGAAGCCUCUAGGAGAGAUACAUGUGCACACUGCUGUUGAAAAGCUGGACACAUUACCAUCACCACCCCAGAGAGAACCAGACCAGAACAAGGAGCCACCUACCGGUGUCAUUAAAAAAAGUCUUAUCGGUUUUGUCAUGACCAUAAUGUUUUGGCUUUGAACAUUUCUUAGAACUCUUCAGGCUGUUGUUUUUUCACUUCUACAGUUUUGGUUUAAAAAUAUCUAUUGUUAAAGAAAAUGUGUUUCACUGUUCUACAUCAUCAAAUAUCCAUGAAAAAUCUGAUGGGUUUGUAAAGUGAAUGUUACAAAGAAUUUCCUCCCCACAGAUGUUAUUGGCUGAUAUAUUGCAUUUUGAGUUCUCCUGGUUGGACCGACCCACAAGUUAAGAAGCACAGAGAUAAACCCAUCUUGGAUAUAACCAGCGAGGAAACAAGAGGCUUGACUCCGCUCUAAAGUCUGUCAGUGCGAAAGUACAGUGUUAACCAGUGGAAUUGGGGAUUUUUUUAUGGAGGUCAAUGAGAGAAUGUCGAAUUUGGUCAACAGUUUAAUAAAGGUUACAUAAAA